GACGAACGCUGGCGGCGUGCCUAACACAUGCAAGUCGAACGGGGCGAUUCCUUCGGGGGUCGCUUAGUGGCGAACGGGUGAGUAACGCGUGAGGAACCUGCCUUUCAGUGGGGGGACAACAGUUGGAAACGACUGCUAAUACCGCAUAAUGUAGCGAGACCGCAUGAUCUUGCUACCAAAGCUUUAUGUGCUGAAAGAUGGCCUCGCGUCUGAUUAGCUAGUUGGUGGGGUAACGGCCCACCAAGGCGACGAUCAGUAGCCGGUCUGAGAGGAUGAACGGCCACAUUGGGACUGAGAUACGGCCCAGACUCCUACGGGAGCAGCAGUGGGGAAUAUUGGGCAAUGGGGGGAAACCCUGACCCAGCAACGCCGCGUGAAGGAAGAAGGCCUUCGGGUUGGUAAACUUCUUUUACCAGGGACGAAGAACGUGACGGUACCUGGAGAAAAGCAACGGACUAACUACGUG
rnacentral:rRNA from 1 species